GAUCACGUACCAACUUCAUGUCAUAUCCCAAUAACAUUCAAAAAUGAUAUUUUAUUUCUUAUAUUUAUAUUUUCUAUUUUGAUUUGUGUUCUUACCGAGCUUCCAUGAUUAUGUAGCAGAUGACCAAAAUAACGAUCGUAGAACACAAAAUAUAGUUCGUAAGAGUUUUAUCGAAUAAAAAAUUAGGAACAAUAUCAAAGAGAAUAUAAGAUAUAGAUAUUUAAUUGAAAAUGUUAAAAAAAAAAAAAAGACGAAACAUGUGUAAAAAUAAAGGUAAUUUAGAGCGUAAAGUUAACUGAAAUGACAAGAAGAGCGGAGUAAACUACAUCCGUGGUGUGAUUUGGUCGCGAUCAGCGAUGGAGAAACUCGCGUCGGUCUAGCUUACUAAGUUGAAAACGCAAUUGUUGAUCACAGAUUUCGACAGAAAUUCGAAGGAUCUGAGAGAAUUGAUGGUGGAUAUGAUGGGUCAAGUUAACGUUAAGCUCUUAGUCAGGUUUUUGGAAAGAAACAACGGUAUGUUCAUCGUUAGGACUCGCGGUUGUAGCCAUGCAGGAGACGAUUCAAGACAGUAGGACAGAUUUAGACCAAGUGCAGGAUUUUAAUGAAGACUCGGACCGGUACCCUGACAUGAACAUGUAAAUUUUUCGAGCUUCGAAAUCAGCCUCUCUUAUAAUCAUGCCGAGUCAUAGCCGUGAUGGAAGUUGCCAGGAAACAACAGGUUAAUUUAUCAUCAUGAAGUAAAUACAUGUAGGCUUAUAACUCUGCCUACAUGUUUUCGCUUCCAAUAUCAUAUAACUCUAUUUUAUAAAUUCGCCAUGCAGAAGUUGCAGACGGUAUUUAAAACUGUAUAAAAUGAAACAAGAGAACGAUAUAUGUUUAAUGUUUCUCUUUUAUAAAUUGAUGAAAUUCUUGUUUUUUUACAAAAUAAACUGUAUAAAUAUC